GAUGAACGCUGGCGGCGUGCCUAAUACAUGCAAGUCGAGCGAACGGACGAGAAGCUUGCUUCUCUGAUGCUAGCGGCGGACGGGUGAGUAACACGUGGAUAACCUACCUAUAAGACUGGGAUAACUUCGGGAAACCGUAGCUAAUACCGGAUAAUAUUUUGAACCGCAUGGUUCAAAAGUGAAAGACGGUCUUGCUGUCACUUAUAGAUGGAUCCGCGCUGCAUUAGCUAGUUGGUAAGGUAACGGCUUACCAAGGCAACGAUGCAUAGCCGACCUGAGAGGGUGAUCGGCCACACUGGGACUGAGACACGGUCCAGACUCCUACGGGAGGCAGCAGUAGGGAAUCUUCCGCAAUGGGCGAAAGCCUGACGGAGCAACGCCGCGUGAGUGAUGAAGGUCUUCGGAUCGUAAAACUCUGUUAUUAGGGAAGAACAUAUGUGUAAGUAACUGUGCACAUCUUGACGGUACCUAAUCAGAAAGCCACGGCUAACUACGUG
rnacentral:rRNA from 1 species